rnacentral:rRNA from 1 species
UACGUAGGGUGCGAGCGUUGUCCGGAAUUAUUGGGCGUAAAGAGCUCGUAGGCGGUUUGUUGCGUCUAUCGUGAAAACCUGCAGCUUAACUGUGGGCUUGCGGUGGAUACGGGCAGACUUGAGUUCGGUAGGGGAGACUGGAAUUCCUGGUGUAGCGGUGAAAUGCGCAGAUAUCAGGAGGAACACCGGUGGCGAAGGCGGGUCUCUGGGCAACAACUGACGCUGGGGAGCGAAAGCGUGGGGAGCGAACAGG